rnacentral:lncRNA from 1 species
UUAAUAGCCUACCUGAUGCGGAGUAUUAACGGCAGAAGGAGGAUGGAGUUUGGGAUGAGACAACCCAAGGAUUUCCUGGAGAAGCCGAGCAGUGACAUAAUAUACUUCAACUCUCACCAGAAACCUUUAGGAGCAUUAUUUUCAGGAUAUAGCCUGGGCCUGGAAUACAUCACAGAUCAUCCUACUGAUCCCACUAAUCCUCCAAGGCUCAGACGCCUUCCCCAAACCUUUUUCCGAUCCCUUGAAUAAGUGCAAUUUCCUCUAAUAUUA